rnacentral:rRNA from 1 species
AGAGUUUGAUCAUGGCUCAGGAUGAACGCUGGCGCGUGCUUAACACAUGCAAGUCGAACGGUGAAGCCCAGCUUGCUGGGUGGAUCAGUGGCGAACGGGUGAGUAACACGUGAGCAAUCUGCCCCUGACUCUGGGAUAAGCGCUGGAAACGGCGUCUAAUACUGGAUAUGAACCGUGGAGGCAUCUUCAACGGUUGGAAGAUUUUUGGUCAGGGAUGAGCUCGCGGCCUAUCAGCUUGUUGGUGAGGUAAUGGCUCACCAAGGCGUCGACGGGUAGCCGGCCUGAGAGGGUGACCGGCCACACUGGGACUGAGACACGGCCCAGACUCCUACGGGAGGCAGCAGUGGGGAAUAUUGCACAAUGGGCGCAAGCCUGAUGCAGCAACGCCGCGUGAGGGAUGACGGCCUUCGGGUUGUAAACCUCUUUUAGCAGGGAAGAAGCGAAAGUGACGGUACCUGCAGAAAAAGCGCCGGCUAACUACGUG